UGAGACUAAUAAUUCAUAAAUAAAUACAGCUUAUUUGGCUCAUAACUAUAAUGGCAUGGGGUUCAGGGUUGGCCAUCUGGGUCUGUGAGAGCCUUGGGGAGCUUCCUCGCAGGAUAGGAGGUGAAGGGGAGCUAUGUGUCAGAGAUCACAUAGCAAAGGAGGAGGAGAGACUGGAGGUGUAUGGCUCUUUUUAACAACCAGCUCUUGCAUAUCUAAUAGUAAGAACUUACCCCCAAGGAAGGACAUUAACCCACUAAUGAGGAAUCUGCCCCAUGAUCCAAACAAUUCCCACCUCCAACACUGGAGAUCCAAUUUCAGCAAAAGGUUUGGAGAGUCAAACAUUCAAACUACAACAGGAUCCCAGUAGAGAGGGUUCACACACAGUUUGGCAGGCUGAGGUGACCUCAGAGGAAAUAGCACGGAAGAUGCAUCUUGACAGAUGGGGAGGAUCACUAUGAACACUGAGAUGAACAGAACUGUCUGGGCUCUUGGCAGGUGGAGAUGCAUGAGACCCUGGUUCAAAGGUUGGAGCUGUCAUCCUCAACUGUACAGUGGAUCAUCUGGGAGCUGUUAAAAUGCUAAGGCCAGGACCCACCAGCAGCUACCAAGCCCAGUUGGUCCCCUGCUUCCUGCAGACCUUGUCUCACUCUGGACUCUCCCACACAUGGGGUGGAGCUGCCAGGUGCUGGUGAGGGCAAGUACCCAGCAUCAGCCACUGAAACUCCCUGAGGACUCUCAAACAUCCUACUCCCUGACAUAGAGUGCCCUUGACACCAUCUCUGGGUAUGGACUCUUCCUCAUUGCCUUCUGAGGGUCCUCUUGCAUUCAGAUUU